AUUGAACACUGGCGGCAUGCCUUACACAUGCAAGUCGAACGGCAGCGGGGACUUCGGUCCGCCGGCGAGUGGCGAACGGGUGAGUAAUGCAUCGGAACGUACCCGGAAGUGGGGGAUAACGUAGCGAAAGUUACGCUAAUACCGUAUAUUCGGGGAGCAUGAACGAGGGGGAUAUUCGGACCUCUUGCUUUCGGAGCGGCCGAUGUCAGAUUAGCUAGGUGGUGAGGUAAAGGCUCGCCAAGGCGACGAUCUGUAGCGGGUCUGAGAGGAUGAUCCGCCACACUGGAACUGAGACACGGUCCAGACUCCUACGGGAGGCAGCAGUGGGGAAUUUUGGACAAUGGGCGCAAGCCUGAUCCAGCCAUGCCGCGUGAGUGAAGAAGGCCUCCGGGUUGUAAAGCUCUUUCGGCCGGGAAGAAAUCGCAUGGAUUAAUACUCUGUGCGGAUGACGGUACCGGCAUAAGAAGCACCGGCUAACUACGUGCCAGCCGCCGCGGUAAGAC
rnacentral:rRNA from 1 species